CCUACGGGGGGCAGCAGUAGGGGAUAUUGGUGAAUGGGCGAAAGCCUGAACCAGCAACGCCGCGUGUGCGAUGAAGGCCUUCGGGUUGUAAAGCACUUUUCACCGGGAAGAGGAAGGACGGUACCGGUGGAAUAAGCCUCGGCUAACUACGUGCCAGCAGCCGCGGUAAAACGUAGGAGGCGAGCGUUAUCCGGAUUUACUGGGUGUAAAGCGCGUGCAGGCGGCUCGUUAAGUUGGGUGUGAAAGCUCCCGGCUCAACUGGGAGAGGUCGCUCAAGACUGGCGAGCUAGAGUAUGGUAGAGGAAGGUGGAAUUCCGGGUGUAGUGGUGAAAUGCGUAGAUAUCCGGAGGAACACCAGUGGCGAAAGCGGCCUUCUGGGCCAAGACUGACGCUCAGACGCGAAAGCUAGGGUAGCAAACGGGAUUAGAUACCCCAGUAGUC
rnacentral:rRNA from 1 species